rnacentral:rRNA from 1 species
UUAACACAUGCAAGUCGAGCGAGAACCAGUCCUUCGGGACUGGGGACAGCGGCGAACGGGUGAGUAACACGUGGGUAAUCUGCCCUCGAUUCUGGGAUAGCCCGGGGAAACCCGGAUUAAUACCGGAUAGCCUCUCGAGCUUACGAGCUCGUGAGAAAAGGUAGCUUCGGCCUCCGAUCGAGGAUGAGCCCGCGGCGGAUUAGCUUGUUGGUGGGGUAAUGGCCUACCAAGGCGACGAUCCGUAGCUGGUCUGAGAGGACGAUCAGCCACACUGGGACUGAGACACGGCCCAGACUCCUACGGGAGGCAGCAGUGGGGAAUCUUGCGCAAUGGGCGAAAGCCUGACGCAGCGACGCCGCGUGGGGGAAGAAGGCCUUCGGGUUGUAAACCUCUUUCAGCAGGGACGAAGCCACUCGGGUUAAUAGCCCAGAGGGUGACGGUACCUGCAGAAGAAGCCCCGGCUAACUACGUGCCAGCAGCCGUGGUAAUACGUAGGGUGCAAGCGUUAAUCGGAAUUACUGGGCGUAAAGCGUGUGUAGGCGGUUCGGAAAGAAAGAUGUGAAAUCCCAGGGCUCAACCUUGGAACUGCAUUUUUAACUGCCGAGCUAGAGUAUGUCAGAGGGGGGUAGAAUUCCACGUGUAGCAGUGAAAUGCGUAGAUAUGUGGAGGAAUACCGAUGGCGAAGGCAGCCCCCUGGGAUAA